UUUUCAUUUGGGUACGAAGUUGUACUUGACUGUUAACUCCAGAUUUUACUUUGUGACAGUACUGCUGCAGGAAAAAAAGCACUGGCUACUUAAUGCCAAAGAACAUAUACCAGUUUGUUUUGUUGCCGUCUUUGUGGCUUCCAUCCAAGGUCACUUCUGCUACAGAGCACCUGAGUCCAAGACUCAUUUUGCUGCAGGAGAUUGCCUAACAGGACACUAACAGUUCAUAAUGUAAUGAAUUUCCAAAGCAGUAUUAAAGCAGUGGGAAGCAUUGCUUCCUUUCCUGAAUGCUUUCUGCUUCACCAUAUAGUUUUAUACAAUAGUAUUUUUUUUUACUGUUUUUCAUAAUAUCCCCACUUUGGUUGAAGAAAAAUAGGGGGGAAAAGAUGACCAACUGUGGGUAUGAUUAAAGACACACAGGUGAGCACUGUUAUGUGUAUUACUAAUGAGGACAUAAGGGAAAAAAUAAGCACACCAUCUGGUUUUAGGUACCUAAUUUAAGUUAGGAGGCUUAUCUUGUUAGGCUUUUGUAGGAGAGUGUGGGAUAGGCAGAGUUGUGCUCCUAAGCCAUCAGAUGCUCUAAAUCACCCCCUGGCAAGCCUGCUUCCUUCUUUUCUUGCAGAGCUGGCUCAGGGAGAUGAACCAUCCAGGUUGGGUGGGUAAUUCAACUAAUCAUUCAGGAAACUUGUCAGGCUGCAUUCAGGUCAGCAGUUCAUCAGUGAGUGCUAUGAAAGAUAAUCUAUGAAUGUCAAAGUUGCAGGACCUUGAAAAAAGGCAGUCAGCAGGAGCAGCUUGAAAAUCUGCUGAACAGAAACACCUAAAGGGGAAAUGUUUUUCCUCUGGUACCAAGCCCAGGUCACUGCCACAGAGCCAAAGCCUGCCAUGUUCAGGUAGAGCUCUGCCAUGAAACACCCAGGCUUAGCAGUUCCUUCAGAGCCCCCUUCAUCCAGUUUCAUCUGCAGCUUCUUCUCCAGAGGACACUGCUGUGCCAGUGUUCAGUUCAUCCUGUCAGCUAUGUGGCAGGGAGGGAGGAUGGCCCAGCAAAUCGGGGGGACAUUGUGAAAGGCGCCUCUGGCUUCUCCUCCUGCCUCUGCUUGGGCAGGCUCCUUCAGCUGAGCAACAGUCACAGAGAGCUGCUAUUGCUGAAAUAACUGCCUCCUAAUCUGAACACAGCGGGGAGUUCUCAGGAAGAUCAUACUUCUGAAAAUGGCUGUGCUACACCAAACCAAGGAGCACCUCAGCUCAUUAGUUGAGAGUUGCAAAACCUGAGUCCUUAAAACCCUGACUGAACUGGUACAGCUGAACUUCUGUACGCUGUUGAUUACAAUACUUGAUUGCCUAAACUGCUUACAGUAGCUAAAAAUAUCUGAUAUAUUCCAACUAUCAGUGACACAUGCAGCACAUAAUACUGGAUGCCACCCACUGGCUUGAAAUGUUUUUUCACCAUGUGCCUGACUUGCUGCAGGAGCCAGAAGGCAGGAAGAGAGACAGUUGGGGUGACAUUGAAAGAGGCUCCCUUAUUACUUACCUAACUUGGAUCAGUUUGUGGUUCAGAGUUUUGUAGUACUAAAAGCUCUUUGCAAAGUGUGAUUAUUUAAAUUGGUGCAGUCUCUCUGAUGAUGUUGGAGAGCUGCUUCUAGUCCAGCAUUUCUCAGGAAAGCUGAUAGCAAAACCCAUUCCUAUAGGUUUUACAUACUUCUGACACUGUGGUUCGGUCUACUGCAACCUUUGGGUCCAUGAGAAGAUCAUGUUGGCCUCAGCUGUACCAUCCUAUGGGUGACUAACGCUUAAAAAUCUAACAUUUUGAGAAUAAAGAUAGAUCUGUUUUUCACUUUGACAUGUUCGUGGGUUCCUUCUGACAGAGUAUGCAUGCCAGUCAGACUCAAGGAAGAAGAGACCUCAACACCCACCAUCACCUUGAUUCCCUAGGCCAGCUGAGGAUCCAAGGAAGGAGUGUUUGAGAGAAGAUCCUGUAUCUCUAUAUACAUUUUCUGAUGCUGUAACCUCUACCAAGCACCCCUUUUGGCAGUUUUCUGAAAAGCCCUUGUUAGCAGGAUACCUUUUCUUCUUCUUUCUACCUUUGUCUUGCAUUUGGCUCCGUUUCUGUUUAAUUCAGGGAAUGGCAGAAUGCCUUUGUUCAGUGUGACAAUCCUUGGUUAUAAGAGUCACAAAGCUGAUGCACAAGAGCUUUACUUCUGUGCCUGUUGUUCCCUUCACUUGCAGGAAGGAUGUGAAGUUUCAUCUACAACAAUCUUACUUUUAGCACAAGGGCUUGUUCUCAGGAUUAUUGUUAGCAUGGGACAUUUUAACAUUAUAUAUUAGAAUUCAUAUGAUUCUAGAAGUCUCUGCUUCAUUUCUCCCACAUGUUCAAAUAAUGGCUGUACAAAGGAGAACACUCAUCUAGCCUGUGCCAAGCAAGAACUCAUUUCUGCAAUUGAUGUGCCAUCACCCAGUCUUUGCCUGCAGGACUAUGUUCUGCACAGGAAGAGUCAACUGUAGAGGGAAAUCUCCAGAAGCGGAGUACAACCAUUUAUAAACCUCUUGCAACAAAAAUCAAGUGUUUGCCAUUACAAGUCAUGCCUGGGGACUUCCAUCAUGUGUGAUUUUUCAUCCCAUGAUCUUCAAGAAUGACGUACAUGUAACUUUUAAAUCUUCUAAUACUGUGAAUGUUAGGAAGAUUAGGUCAGGCAGAGCUCAGCUAGCCAUCAAGACGAUUUUCAUGCUUUGUCACCAACUAUUUGUUAUUUAGCCCAGAAAGCUAAAUUUGUGGUUAGGUUUGAUUGCACAAGGUGACAGGCACAGGCUUAGCUUCCCUCUUCUUUGCAGUAUUUGAAGCUUAAUUGGUGGUUGCAGAAAGAGUCCAGAUAUCUUCAGAGACCAAAACGUUUAAAUCCAGGUGAGAAAUACUUCUAUCAGACCAACAUAUUGUGCCAAGUAGAAGAGAGCUUCAUUAAAGCAGAGCCAUGUCUGUUAAGUCCCUGUUCUGAAAUACUAGUUUUCUGACCUGAUUAGUUAUAUGGGGAUUUUAGAGGGAGACAUGAAGCACCCCCAAUUGCUCUGUGAACUAUCUCAGCAUACCACUCCUUUUCCAGAGAUACACAUCUCCUAGUUUCCCUGGUCUCUGUUGUGACUAGAUCCAUCCCAGGGAAAAUAUUGUAUGCACUUUUUAUUCUCUGCAAAGCAGGAAAAUGCCAGUUUUACAUUAGCAAAGGAAUGAGAGUUUGAUAGAGCCCUCUGUCUGCUCCACUGUGAUAUGUUAGGCAGUAAAUUUACUAAUGGCUUCUGUUACCCACCAUAUGACUGUGUGGCAAAUAUUAUGGUUUGGGAGCACAAGUCUAGGUAAUAUGUGUCUGUGAUUUAAAGAGGCAACAGAUUAGCUA